CCAGGCCGUUGUAGGGAUUCAAUGAGGUCACAGUUACAAGGCCUGUGACGCAUGGCCCAGCAGGAACUAGUGUGUGAUGAGCGCUAGCUGCUCUUUGAAUCAUGAUGAUGUACGGCCCACUAGAGUACAAACAGUUUAAGAGGGACUCUGUCUUCCUUCUAAUAGUGCUGAUAUUUAUCCCUGAGUCCUUUCUGUGUGCUGGGAAUCUUGCCAAACAAUAUCCUUACAACAACGCCACGAGGGAAUUUUUCAUAUGUACAAGAGGAAGAGGAAAACAUGAACUUUAACAGGACAACUCCAGCUGCUGUGGCCUUGAGAGUAGACUUUGGUGGAAACAAAGACAAAAUCAGUGCCUCAGCGAGUCAGACUCUGACUCCAGGACUCCCAAGGGUUGAGUAGGUGUCUGUGGGCUUCAGGGGACUCCGUCAUCUCCACUCUCUGGUGAAGAUCCUAGGUCCUCCUCAUCCUCACUUCAUCCUUCUCUCCAUGUUACCUUUUAUUGUUUGACUCUGCUUGAGGUAACAGCCUGAUUUUCAUUCUGGAAAUAAGUAAUUAUAGUGACUAAUAAAGUGUGAUAGAAAUUGCAAACUAACAGGUACCAAGGACUUACUACAUGCCAGAUGCACUGCUAAGCUCUUGGCCUUGUCGCAUUUAAUUGUG
rnacentral:lncRNA from 1 species